AACGAACGCUGGCGGCAUGCCUAACACAUGCAAGUCGAACGAACCCUUCGGGGUUAGUGGCGCACGGGUGCGUAACGCGUGGGAAUCUGCCCUUUGCUUCGGAAUAACAGUUAGAAAUGACUGCUAAUACCGGAUGAUGUCUUCGGACCAAAGAUUUAUCGGCAAGGGAUGAGCCCGCGUAGGAUUAGGUAGUUGGUGGGGUAAAGGCCUACCAAGCCGACGAUCCUUAGCUGGUCUGAGAGGAUGAUCAGCCACACUGGGACUGAGACACGGCCCAGACUCCUCCGGGAGGCAGCAGUGUGGAAUAUUGGGCAAUGGGCGCAAGCCUGAUCCAGCAAUGCCGCGUGAUUAAUGAAGGCCUUCGGGUCGUAAAGCUCUUUUACCAGGGAUGAUAAUGACAGUACCUGGAGAAUAAGCUCCGGCUAACUCCGUGCCAGCCGCCGCGGUAUAC
rnacentral:rRNA from 1 species